rnacentral:rRNA from 1 species
UACGUAGGGGGCAAGCGUUGUUCGGAAUUACUGGGCGUAAAGGGCGCGUAGGCGGCAUGGCAAGUCAGUUGUGAAAUCUCUGGGCUUAACUCAGAACGGUCAACUGAUACUGUCGGGCUAGAGUGCAGAAGGGGCAACUGGAAUUCUCGGUGUAGCGGUGAAAUGCGUAGAUAUCGAGAGGAACACCUGCGGCGAAGGCGGGUUGCUGGGCUGACACUGACGCUGAGGCGCGAAAGCUAGGGGAGCAAACGGG